GACGAACGCUGGCGGCGUGCCUAAUACAUGCAAGUCGAGCGGACGGAUGGGAGCUUGCUCCCAGACCGUCAGCGGCGGACGGGUGAGUAACACGUGGGCAACCUGCCUGUAAGACUGGGAUAACUCCGGGAAACCGGGGCUAAUACCGGAUAACUCUUUCCCUCACAUGAGGGAAAGCUGAAAGAUGGCAUCUCGCUAUCACUUACAGAUGGGCCCGUGGCGCAUUAGCUAGUUGGUGAGGUAACGGCUCACCAAGGCGACGAUGCGUAGCCGACCUGAGAGGGUGAUCGGCCACACGGGGACUGAGACACGGCCCAGACUCCUACGGGAGGCAGCAGUAGGGAAUCUUCCGCAAAGGACGAAAGUCUGACGGAGCAACGCCGCGUGAGUGAUGAAGGUUUUCGGAUCGUAAAACUCUGUUGUCAGGGAAGAACAAGUACCGGAGUAACUGACGGUACCGUGACGGUACCUGACCAGAAAGCCACGGCUAACUACGUG
rnacentral:rRNA from 1 species